UGCUGCGUCAACCUAACCUAAUUACCAUAUUACCCUUGACCUAAUUUACUAAUUACCCAAAAAACCUAAGAUAUUUGACGCAGUCGACGCUUGACGCCUCUCCAACUUCCAUUGACGCAACUCGACCAGAGAUCUCUGACGAACACCUUUCGAUCUCCGACAAACUCCGAGCUCUCUCUCGAUCUCCGGCGAACUGCGACAUCUCAAGCUCUCUCUCUCGAACUCCGGCGAACUCCGAGCUCUCUCUCGAUCCAUCUCGUCUCGCAGAGCUCUCUCUCUCUCUCUCUGGAUCCAUCUCGCAGAGCUCUCUCUCUCUCUCUCAAUCUCCGACAUCUCAACCUCUCUCUCUCGAUCUCCGGUGAACUCCGAGCUCUCUCUCUCUCGAUCUCCGACGAACUCCGAGCUCUCUCUCUCGAUCUAUCUAUUGCAGAGCUCUCUCUCUCGAUCUACCCAUCUCCCAGCUCAUCUCAUCUCAAGCUCUCUCUUCUCCAUACCCAUCUCGAGCUCGACCAAACCCAUCACUUCCUUUUCUUGUUGAGCUGGACAGGAACGGCGCCCAAGGAAUCAUCUCUCAGUUCUUGAAGCAUUUGGGAACACCAAAACUCUCAGGCUCUCUCAGGCUUCUCCAUAGCUUUCUCGAAGCAAACCCAUCUCUCCUCUGUUUCUCACUCUCUCGUUUCUCUCUUCUUUGCCGCAGCUCGAGCUCUCUCUCUCUCUUCUGACGAAAACCCAGGGCUUUUUCUCCUCCAACGCAACGCUCGCUCUCUCUCCCGAUCUCAGACGCACACCCUCUCUUCUUUGUUUUG